CCUACGGGUGGCAGCAGUGAGGAAUAUUGGUCAAUGGACGAGAGUCUGAACCAGCCAAGUAGCGUGAAGGAUGACUGCCCUAUGGGUUGUAAACUUCUUUUAUAUGGGAAUAAAACGUUCCACGUGUGGGAUUUUGUAUGUACCAUAUGAAUAAGGAUCGGCUAACUCCGUGCCAGCAGCCGCGGUAAUACGGAGGAUCCGAGCGUUAUCCGGAUUUAUUGGGUUUAAAGGGAGCGUAGGUGGAUUGUUAAGUCAGUUGUGAAAGUUUGCGGCUCAACCGAAAAAUUGCAGUUGAAACUGGCAGUCUUGAGUGCAGUAGAGGUGGGCGGAAUUCGUGGUGUAGCGGUGAAAUGCUUAGAUAUCACGAAGAACUCCGAUUGCGAAGGCAGUUCACUGGACUGCAACUGACACUGAGGCUCGAAAGUGUGGGUAUCAAACAGGAUUAGAUACCCUUGUAGUC
rnacentral:rRNA from 1 species